AUUCCAUGAUGGGGACAUUCUAGGAUGUAGUCUUGAAAGCGCUCCCAUGCUUCUGGAACAAAUUCAUCAUUUUGUUGCUGAAAACUUAUAAUCUUCCCACGGAGAGC
rfam:Sorghum bicolor cultivar BTx623 chromosome 8, whole genome shotgun sequence.